rnacentral:rRNA from 1 species
GACGAACGCUGGCGGCGUGCCUAACACAUGCAAGUCGAACGGAAAGGCCCUGCUCUUGUGGGGUGCUCGAGUGGCGAAAGGGUGAGUAACACGUGAGUAACCUGCCCUUGACUUUGGGAUAACUUCAGGAAACUGGGGCUAAAACCGGAUAGGAGAUCCUGCUGCAUGGUGGGGGUUGGAAAGUUUCGGCGGUUGGGGAUGGACUCGCGGCUUAUCAGCUUGUUGGUGGGGUAGUGGCUUACCAAGGCUUCGACGGGUAGCCGGCCUGAGAGGGUGACCGGCCACAUUGGGACUGAGAUACGGCCCAGAGUCCUACGGGAGGCAGCAGUGGGGAAUAUUGCGCGAUGGGCGGAAGCCUGAUGCAGCGACUCCGGGUGCGGGAUGACGGCUUUCGGGUUGUAAACCGCUUUCGCCUGUGACGAAGCGUGAGUGACGGUAAUGGGUAAGGAAGCACCGGCUAACUACGUG